rnacentral:rRNA from 1 species
AGUGAACGCUGGCGGUAGGCCUAACACAUGCAAGUCGAACGGCAGCACAGUAAGAGCUUGCUCUUAUGGGAGGCGAGUGGCGGACGGGUGAGGAAUACAUCGGACUCUACUUUUUCGUGGGGGAUAACGUAGGGAAACCUACGCUAAUACUGCAUACGACCUACGGGUGAAAGCAGGGGAUCUUCGGACCUCGCGCGAUCGAAUGAGCCGAUGUCGGAUUAGCUAGUUGGCGGGGUAAAGGCCCACCAAGGCGACGAUCCGUAGCUGGUCUGAGAGGAUGAUCAGCCACACUGGAACUGAGACACGGUCCAGACUCCUACGGGAGGCAGCAGUGGGGAAUAUUGGACAAUGGGCGCAAGCCUGCUCCAGCCAUACCGCGUGGGUGAAGAAGGCCUUCGGGUUGUAAAGCCCUUUUGUUGGGAGAGAAGAGCAGCAGGUUAAUACCCCGCUGUUCUGACGGUACCCAAAGAAUAAGCACCGGCUAACUUCGUG